ACUGGAAUAGUUAUUCAUUCUAUCAUAUACUAAAGGUCAUAUAAGAGACUAUACGAGAUAUCAGCUACUGAAUGAUGAAUACCUUCCAGUGUUUGGUCCUUGUUGCUGCUAUUGGACUCAUCAUUACUGCAGACACAGUGUCUGCUACAAAUGAUUGCUACAAAGAAAAAGACUGCCAAGGCAACAAAACUGCUGUAAGCGAUUUUUGCUGCAAGCUUGCUGGAGUCAAGUCUUACAAUGUUGUUGAUCCAAUUCCAUUCUGUUUCAACUGCAAGUAGCUAAGAUGAUGAUGCUCAAAGCAAGACACUAACUGUAUAUAAUAAUAAUAACAGUGCUCUUGCUAGUAAUAGUAAUCCAUGCAAGAGAUCAGUAAAUCAAUGAUACAAUUCUUCCAAUGAUAUUUAAAAUAAUUA